rnacentral:rRNA from 1 species
UACGUAGGGGGCAAGCGUUGUCCGGAAUCAUUGGGCGUAAAGAGCGUGUAGGCGGCUCGAUAAGUCCGCUGUGAAAGUCCAGGGCUCAACCCUGGAAGGCCGGUGGAAACUGUCGGGCUAGAGUCCGUAAGAGGCGAGUGGAAUUCCCGGUGUAGCGGUGAAAUGCGCAGAUAUCGGGAGGAACACCAAUGGCGAAGGCAGCUCGCUGGGACGGUACUGACGCUGAGACGCGAAAGCGUGGGGAGCAAACAGG